rnacentral:lncRNA from 10 species
CACACACUCUCUCUUUCUCAUUCUCCUUUCCCUCCUCUCCAUCUCCCUAUUGCAUUGUGUCUGACUGAUUUUCAGAGCACCUUCGCUGUUUCCCCCUUCUCGUUCCCUUCUCAUAAAAUAUCUAGACAGGAAGGAGGUGGCUGCAGAGGCUGAACAAUCUCAUAUUCUGCCUGCAAUGUCAUCGUUUCUUUCCCCCAUUUUAGGGGGCUGAAGUUGCCCAGCAAGGGAUGCAGAGGAGCUGGAAAAGAAGGGGGGAGCUCUCCAGAGGCAGCUGCGGUCAGGGGCAGGGACUGCCGCCAGAUGUGCCUGCCUUUCUGGGCUUUGAUGAGAAAGGGGCAGCAGGAGGAAAUAUUGGGAGACAAAAGCCCCGGUUUAAAUGAUCAUUUUCUUUAUUUAACAUGGCAGCAGACACUCUCUGCGUAGGAUCAUCAUGCCGAGCAUAAACUGGACUUUCCCACUUGCCUGGCAGGAGUCACACAGAUCCCUGCGUGCUAAAUGAACAUCUGAGACCCUUGAAUCCUGACUAUUGGAGAAACAGCACCAUAUUUUGGAUACUGAUUCAGACCAUAUACAGCCUUCUGGAGAAUCUUGCCCCAGUCCUGAAAGGUAUUUCUAUUCAUCUAGUUGGUGCUAUAACUGAGUCUUCAAAAGACAAUUCCACUGUUCUAUCAAGAAAGCUGCUUCAGGAUGGUGGGAAAUAUGGUUUUGGUAUCAGGAUGAUGCUGGCAUCAUAAAAUGAGUAUUUUUCUUCAGACUUCAGACUGCUGUGCUGGAAGCAAGAAUUUCAAGCAUUGGAUCUUAGCUUGCUGGGCUCCAUAGGGGUGGGAUCCACUGAGCUAGACCACUUGGCUCCCUGGCUUCAGCCCCCUUCCAGAUGUCCUUGGCGUGUACACCCUGUGGAAUCUGGUUCAUCUUCAAUCUGUCAGAAGGCAUCAGAGGUGGUUUUGACUCCUUAUGUCUUGGACCUGUGCACAAAAAGUACGGGCAGGAGAGGAUGCAGGAGACUGUACAAAGUUCAAGAAACGAUAUGCUUUAAUCAAGGUAAAAUGGAUGGAACAUCAGACAGCUCAUUAUAGAGACAAGUAAGCUCCAGUUCCAAAGUUGGUUGACAGAACAAGUCAUGACCUUGUGUGGAGGAAAAUGAGAUCCCGAGUGAAGUCUACAAUGUCAUUGACUCUGAAGAAGGACUCAGAGACCCAUUGGUGUUUAAUGACCCUUACUGGCCUAUGCAAUGGAAACUGAUCUUGAGUGUGCCUUAAAAUUCCAUUUCAUGGAGAACUGUGCGUGGUUGAAUUUUGAUUGAUUACUCAAUUAACUGAUGUAUUGGUAGAGUGAUUAAGAAAGAAGACUUUGGGAUCAGACCAACCUGGUUUUGAAUUCAAGCUCAGCAACUUACUAGGUAAGGAGGAGAAAAGAAAGAAGGAAAAAUUGGAAAGAUAAAUGGGGUCUUUCCAGUGAAGCUGCAGUUAUGGCAUUAACCACCCAGUUGUUACCUACUUCUAGAUGAAAGCUCAAUUUUCCUACAUAAUUAAGAGUUUGGAAUUCGGGCAAUAUCAAGAACCACAUCUGUCCUGAAAUCAAUUAUCUCUGUUUGAAACACAAGAAAUAAGAAGACCAUUUUGAGAAGAACAGAGAGUAGCCUUAAGAAAAUCCCUGUCGCAAGCACUCUGGGAUUUGGACUCAAAUGCUAAUUAUACAGAACCACUUGGGUGCCCAGCUGCUGUCCAUUCUCUACACUUAUCCCACCUGAUGGAAGGCUGUUAAGAAAAACAUCACUGCAAUGCCUAAUAAACAGACAUGGGUCCCAGACCCAAUAAGAGUGAAACCAUCCCCCUAUUUAAAUGAAAUUAUGGCUGAUGAGAAAGACAAAUUAAUUUCUCUGUCCCUAGUAUUACACAAAACUUUGGAUGCUGCCAUUGUUACAAUUUUAUUUUCCCCAGGAGCUCAGAGUCCCACCUUCAUUCUUUUUGUUUAAUGCUUAAGCUUGCCUGUCCACCUAUGGAAGACUAGAAUGAGCAAAGACCAUGUAUUCAAUGAUCUGUAAAUCUAACAGGAAACAAUAUAAUAAAUAUAUUGUGUUUGCUAACCAAAUCUGUGAAUGAUUAGAUCGACUGGUUAAUGAUUAGAUGGAUUAACACAUCAUUUCUAUUUUCUCUCUCCUCCCCUACUUCUUGUUUUAAUGAUACCUUCCAAGUUUUAUUUCUCCAAGCCUAACCCCUUACAUAAUACAAGAGGACAACAGUUUGCAAAAUAAAUAUCUGUUGGCCCUAACUGGUAAAUACUGAAAUAGAUUUCAAGUAAUGUGAGUGUUUUUGAAACCACCUAAAUCUGUAAGCCACCCUGCAAGGAACAAGGGUAGCAAAGUGAAUAAGCCAGACAUGUAAAAAUAAAGAUGACAAAAUGGAAGGCAAUUAAUGCCUGUAAUGGAGGUGGGGAAGGGGGGAAUGACAAGUUAAUAAGAAAUUUAUUUUUAAAUGCUAUCAUCUGCCAUAAAAUAUCCAUGCUUAUUUUAGAAAAUAUGUAAAAUGUUUAAGAAUUAAACAUCUUUAAAAAAAUCACAUGAACUCAUCACCCUGCAACAAAACACACACAGAUGAGUGCACACACUUAAACACACAUUAAUUUUCAAUUAGUAUAUAAAGUUAAUAUCCUGCUAAGUACAAGAUACUAUAUCAUGAGCACUUUGUCUC